rnacentral:rRNA from 1 species
GUAAUCAGUCGUAACAAGGUCUUCGUUGGUGAACCAGCGGAGGGAUCAUUA